rnacentral:rRNA from 1 species
UACGAAGGGGGCUAGCGUUGCUCGGAAUGACUGGGCGUAAAGGGCGCGUAGGCGGUUCGUACAGUCAGACGUGAAAUUCCCGGGCUCAACCUGGGGGCUGCGUUUGAUACGUGCGGGCUUGAGUUCGGAAGAGGGUCGUGGAAUUCCCAGUGUAGAGGUGAAACUUCGUAGAUAUUGGGAAGAACACCAGUGGCGAAGGCGGCUAUCUGGACCGGUACUGACGCUGAGGCGCGAAAGCGUGGGGAGCAAACAGG